rnacentral:tRNA from 3 species
CGCGGGGUGGAGCAGCCUGGUAGCUCGUCGGGCUCAUAACCCGGAGGUCGUGGGUUCAAAUCCCACCCCCGCUACCA